GGCAGCAUAACUUAGCUUGCUAAGUUGAUGGCGACCGGCGCACGGGUGAGUAACACGUAUCCACCUGCCGAUGACUCGGGGAUAGCCUUUCGAAAGAAAGAUUAAUACCCGAUGGCUCCGCAUGGUUAAAGAAUUUCGGUCAUCGAUGGGGAUGCGUUCCAUUAGGUUGUUGGCGGGGUAACGGCCCACCAAGCCUUCGAUGGAUAGGGGUUCUGAGAGGAAGGUCCCCCACAUUGGAACUGAGACACGGUCCAAACUCUACGGGAGGCAGCAGUGAGGAAUAUUGGUCAAUGGACGAGAGUCUGAACCAGCCAAGUAGCGUGAAGGAUGACUGCCUAUGGGUUGUAAACUUCUUUUAUACGGGAAUAAGUGAGGCACGUGUGCCUUUUUGUAUGUACCGUAUGAAUAAGGAUCGGCUAACUCCGUGCCAGCAGCCGCGGUAAUACGGAGGAUCCGAGCGUUAUCCGGAUUUAUUGGGUUUAAAGGGAGCGUAGGCGGACGCUUAAGUCAGUUGUGAAAGUUUGCGGCUCAACCGUAAAAUUGCAGUUGAUACUGGGUGUCUUGAGUACAGUAGAGGCAGGCGGAAUUCGUGGUGUAGCGGUGAAAUGC
rnacentral:rRNA from 1 species